rnacentral:rRNA from 1 species
UACGGGGGGGGCAAGCGUUGUUCGGAAUUACUGGGCGUAAAGGGCUCGUAGGCGGCCAACUAAGUCAGACGUGAAAUCCCCAGGCUUAACCUGGGAACUGCGUCUGAUACUGGAUGGCUUGAAUCCGGGAGAGGGAUGCAGAAUUCCAGGUGUAGCGGUGAAAUGCGUAGAUAUCGGGAGGAACAUCAGUUGCGAAGGCGGCUCUCUGGACCAGCACUGACACUGAGGCACGAAAGCGUGGGGAGCAAACAGG